UGGACGAGUAGAGGCGCGGGUGAACAAGAGUACCCAGCGGGAGGCGGACUGGCGCCGAGGAUCGCUGGCGAAAGGGUUCCCCGCCGAAAUCGCAGGAAGCCAGCCUUCCUUGCGGUUGGGCUGAAUGGGAACACCAUUCAGACUGUCAUCUCCGUGAUGGAGAUGGAGCGCUACUCGGCAG
rnacentral:ncRNA from 1 species